rnacentral:snRNA from 1 species
AUACUUACCUGGCAGGGGAGAUACCAUGAGCAUGAAGGUGGUUUUCCCAGGGUGAGGCUUAUCCAUUGCACUCCGGAUGUGCUGACCCCUGCAGUUUCCCCAAAUGUGGGAAACUCCACUGCAUUAAA